rnacentral:rRNA from 1 species
UACAGAGGGGGCAAGCGUUGUUCGGAAUUACUGGGCGUAAAGCGUGCGCAGGCGGUUUGCUAAGACAGGUGUGAAAUCCCCGGGCUUAACCUGGGAACUGCGCUUGUAACUGGCAAGCUGGAGUGUGGCAGAGGGGGGUGGAAUUCCACGUGUAGCAGUGAAAUGCGUAGAGAUGUGGAGGAACACCGAUGGCGAAGGCAGCCCCCUGGGCUAACACUGACGCUCAUGCACGAAAGCGUGGGGAGCAAACAGG